AAACGCUCAGACCGGAUGAAGUUGUUGGCCGUCAUCCGCUUAUAGCGGCGGAAUAAAAAAAAUCUCCAGAUUCGUUGAACUGUGGGUGCCUUUUUAAACUGAACUCCGUCUUUUAGUAACAAAUGAACGGACCGAACGAUGCCAGCGGUGUCGGUGUCAGCGGGAACCGGAGCUAACGGCCGGUAGUCGGCGUGUUUCCGGUGGUUAGAGCGGCUCAGUGCGCCGCUGAAGCCGAUGGGCUCCUCAGUGUGUUCGGGUAAAAUAAGGCGGAAGACUGCGUAUGAAGACAUGCAGCACGGACACCGCCAAUAAGAGCUAAUAGGCUAACGAGCAAACGGGCUAACGAGCUAAGAUGUCGGUUUGAGAUGACAUCAUUCUUCAUGGCGCCACAGCUGCAGAUUUGAACUGAAACACUGUAGAUUCUCACACACAGCAGCUCAACGCGACCACAAGAUGGCGAGCAGGAGGAAGUCCACCACGCCCUGCAUGGUUCCUCCACGAGAGGCCGUCGACUCGGACCAGGAGAUGGAGGAUGUCACAGACGAGGUGGCGGAGGCCGAGGACAGUAACGGUGUCUCUGCAGAGCCACUCGUCCCAUCAGAGGACAGUGACGUCACACACGUGUCCGACCUCCACCUGGAAGUGAACGCAGCAGAGGGAGGAUACGAGUGUAAAUACUGCAGCUACCAGACGACGGAGCUGAACCUGUUCACUAUGCACGUGUCCACGGAGCAUCCCGAUGUCGUCAUCAACACGUCCUACGUGUGCAUGGAGUGCGACUAUCACACAAAGAGUUACGACACUCUGCUCGCCCACAACGCCCACCUGCACCCCGGCGAGGACAACUUCACGCGGACGAUGGUGAAGCGGAACAACGAGACCGUCUUCCAGCAGACGGUCAACGACCUCACCUUCGACGGCAGCUUUGUCAAAAUGGAGGACGAGGAGGCGGAGGAGACGUCGUGCAGAGGCAUCGCCCUCAGUAAGACGCCCAUCAUGAGGAUCAGGGGACGACUGGAGACCAAGAAGUUCACCGUAACGCCACACAAGAUGGCCGCCGACGACGACAUCAUUAAAGUGGAGAGCGACAACGAGCGGGAAGAGGAGGAGGAGGAGGAAGACGACGACGACGACGACGACGACGACCAGGAGCCGCCUGUUCUCUCCCCGGCGCCCAUGACAGCAAUCACUGUCACCACUGCUGCCACCGCUCCCCGCCUCAUCCCGGUGUCGGCGCCGCUGCAGGUCCAGGCCAUGCCACAGAGCAUCGUGGUCAACAGCUCCAACCUGCUGCAGAUCAAAGGCGGCUCGGGCGGCGUGCUGCCUCCAGGAACGCUGGCUCAGGUUCUGUCGGCGCUGCAGCAGCAGCAGCAGCAGCAGCAGCAGCAGCAGCAGAGCGGCACACAGACGCAGCUGCUCAUCCCCAUCAGCAGCAUCCCCACCUACAACAGCACCAUGGACAACAACGUCCUGCUGCUGAGUGCCUACAACAGGUUUCCGUACCCGUCGGUGUCAGAGAUCACGGGUUUGUCGUCUCAGACCAAGUUCAGCGAGGAGCAGAUUAAGGUGUGGUUUUCUGCUCAGAGGCUCAAACAUGGAGUCAGCUGGACACCAGAGGAGGUGGAGGAGGCGCGGAGGAAGAAGUUCAACGGCACGGUGCAGUCCGUCCCUCAGACCAUCACCGUCAUCCCCACCAACCUCGCCACCAACGGCCUGCAGUCCAUCUUCCAGACGUGUCAGAUCGUUGGACAGCCGGGGCUUGUCCUCACUCAGGUAGCGGGUAACGGCAGCACCAUGCCGGUCGCCUCUCCCAUCACGCUGGCGGUCGCGGGCAUCCAUGGCAACCAGCCCAAAGCCGCCGAACCCACGACAUCGGAGUCAAACGCUGAGAUGUCGGGUUCCUCUGCGAGUUUAGCACUCGGUUUAGAUUCGACCGGAUCGAAGCCGAAGAAGUCCAAGGAGCAGCUGGCGGAGCUGAAGUCCAGCUACGGCCGGCGACAGUUCGCCACUGAGGCGGAGAUAUCUCGACUCAUGCAGGUCACCGGACUCUCCAAACGAGCCAUAAAGAAGUGGUUCAGCGACACGCGCUACAACCAGAGGAACGCCAAGGACCAUCAUGCCGUGCUGCUGAGCGAGUUGUCACCCAGCAGGGCGCCAUCGUCGGGUGGCGGCAGAGUGGGACGGAACAGCGGUGGGAGCCUUAUCAACAGCAGCGACAACGUGGCCACCAUCGUCAUCGACUCCAGCGACGACGCCAGCGACUCCUCCCCUAUUUCUGCCAACGCCCCGGCACUAUCCAGCCCGUCCGGUAACACCCGGGUCAAAUUCCGCCACGCCUUCCCUGACUUCACGCCACAGAAGUUCAAGGAAAAGACGCCGGAGCAGUUGUUCGUCCUGGAGGCUAGCUACCAGAAGUCAGACACGCCCUCGGACGAGGAGCUGAGCCGACUGCGAGCUGAGACGAAGCUGACGAGGCGAGAGGUUGACGCCUGGUUCACCGAGAGGCGGAAAAUGCCUUUAGCAAAAGACGUCGAUGCAGAGAAAGUGAAACCAGCCGCCACGCCGUCGUCCUCGGCUCACGAGAGGCAGAGGUCGCCCCCUGCCAGCAGGAAGGCCACAAAGAAGUCCCCGGAGCAGCUCCACAUCCUGAAGAAAGCCUUCGUCCGCUCGCAGUGGCCAACGGCUGAGGAGUACGAUCAGAUGGCGGAAGACAGCGGCCUGCAGAGGUCGUACAUCGUUAACUGGUUUGGGGACACACGCUACGCCUGCAAGAACAGCAACCUGAAGUGGUACUACCUCUACCAGAGCGGGAAGGGGGACGAGGCGCUGAACGGUGGAGCCAAGAUUCAGAGGAAGUCCAGGAAGCGUAACCGGGGCUGGUCCAGAAGGACGCGGCGGCCACACUCCUGCAAACGAUCUCCACAGGGGGGCGCCACCGCCAUCAAGGUGAAGUCCGGUAAAUCCUUCCUGAAGGAUUACUACCUCAAACACGGCUUUCUGAGCGAGAAGGACCUCGACGACCUGGUGAUGAAAUCCAGCAUGAGCUACGAGCAGGUGAGGGAGUGGUUCUCCUCCACCGCCAGGAGGGCCGAGGAGGGCAAGGGGCCGUUCAGCGACGAGGAGGCCGAGGUGGAGGAGGGGGCCGAGAACGAGGAGGAGGAGGAGCAGGAGGAGGAAGAAGAAGAAGAAGAAGAAGAAGAAGAAGAAGAAGAGGAGGCGGUGGAGGAGGAGGAGGAGGAGGAGGAGGAAGAAGAAGAAGAAGAAGAAGAAGAGGAGGCGGUGGAGGAGGUGGCAGAACAGGACAGUGACGGAGAGAUGGAGGUGAAGGAACAAGGAGACGAGGCUUCAGAUGAUGACUGCAAAAAGGAAGAGGAGGAGCCUCAGGAGGAGCCUCAGGAGGAGGAAGGUGAAGAAAUCAGCCAAUCACAGACAUAAGCAGGAGUUUGCUGUUUGAAAUCCUAUGUUCAGGUUUUCCUCAGUGACACAAAGUGACCACACGAGGCAGCAGAGGACCAGCAGCUCCUGUGUCCCCGCAGCUAAAAUCACUGAUUUUCUCUCUGGACUUUGGUGUGGGAGCCUUUUAAGUGGUUUUGUUUUCACUGAGAAAUCAGCGUCGCUUCCCCCACCGUGGACCCGGCGCAGACGGCGGUGAGUUUGUUGGUCCGUGUUCUCAGUUGCCGGGUCGGGACCCAAACAUGGAUUUUGUGAAACCUCAGACGGGGAACGUGGCGGCGUCCCGGUGAACUUUACAGCUGAGAAGGACAAAGCGUUUCUGGGACCAAGUCCACAUUCAGAGUAAGUUCUGGCUCUGCUCUUGUACAAACAACGUGCUGACCCAGCGGUGGUGGGGGGGCGGGGCAGGGGGGCGGGCUCGCAUUAUUGGCCUUUCAUGUCACUUUUCUUAUGUAUUAAGGUGAAAUUUGUAUAAAGAAGGAAAAAAAAUCCAAGACAUUUCUAAGAGGUGAGACCUCGCACGGUUUUUCAGAAUAAAAGAGGAACUAUCGAGAUGCUUUCUGCCCAAGCUCAACUUUUACUCAAAGAAAAGGUUUUAAAACCGCUUUUUUAAUGAAAACAACAAACUGAAGUCGUGCCAUUUUGUUUCUAAAAAAUGUUUUUUUUUUUUUUAAGUCCGAUCGACAUGCGUACCACGAUGGAAACUGAGUCCACUGAACAAUCCAUGUUUUAGAUCGUUUCCAUGUUUGCAGGAGUUUAGGUCCAUUCACUUUCAACGGUUUAACUUCAGGGUUUUUAUUUCCACUCAGCAGACACAUGACAGCAAAACAGCACAAAUAAAAGAAAAAUCCACCUUAAAAAAACAAUAAAAUACCACCUUUUAAAAAUAAAAUAAUGUGAAACUCAACAUAAUUCAAAUCAAUAAUCAUGAAAACAUUAUGGAACAUUAUUGGUUUUAAAACGUGUUCAGAGCAGAAUAUUAGUCAACGUCCAUGAACAAAAGCUUUUAUUUUGGCGGCAGCUGAUCGAUCAUGUGACACCGUGUGAACGUUUGUGAAACCUGUAUUCUCUUUAAUGUCCAGCAGAGGGCAAAGCGUUUCUUAUUUUUUUGUCUUAGUCUGAAGCAUGACGGCCAUUUUGUAAAUUAAGGAGCCAUUUAUGGUGCAUUUCCACCGACUCUGCACGGCACGAUUAGGUCGCAUCUCCACUACAAAAAACGACCUACUUAAAGUGGGCGGAGUCAUCACUGCACGGCUGAGUGAAACUGCGAUGACUUUGUUUUAUACGCGAAACACACACACACACACACGAGUGACUAGUGAAUUUCCACCACACUUCUGUAGUUGUUGGAGAUUAACCUACGUUUUUAGGAUUGUUAAGUAGUUUUAAUUUAUCUACAGUUCGGCACUGUUCAGCUUGAUUUCUGUGUGGGACGUCUCUUCCUGUGACGGGACUCUGGCCAGUCAGCGGCCGGCAGUCUAACCAAUCAUCGCAUAGUAUCUACUUGAGCACGCUUGGAACCUCACCAGAGCAGGUACUAUUUUCAGUUCUAAAAAUAGUACCUGGUACCAGGCUAGUGGAAACCCUACUUAAACUGUGCCGUGGCAAGGCGAGGCGAGUAGAGCCGGUGGGAAUGCGCCAGUGGGGUCAAAUGGGUGCUUUAGGGGCGGGGCUAUUCUGUGACUGACUGUAUGAUUGUGUGUGUGUGUGUGUGUGUGUGUGUGUGUGUGUGUGUUUGUGGGGGGGGAGUCGUUACAGUGAAAUAUCGCAGUAUUCUGCGUGUUAUUGUAUUGCUUUUGAGAAGUAUGCAUUUUUUUACGUGAAAAAAAUCUGAACUGAAACAUGAACGUUUCAGUCCAUUAGAGCUGUUGUGAGAGUUCAUCACAAUACACAACAUUGUAAGUGCUGUGACAUCUCUGGCGCCCACCCCUAAGGUUAAGGUUGACUAGGCUCCACCCCUCCCUGGUAGAAAACAACAAGUUUUUUAUUUGAUAAUAACAUAGAAACCGCGAUUUCGCUACGAUGUGAUUAUUAUGUUUACAUAAAUCUUACGUACAAAAACUUUUAUCUUUACAGCUCGGGAUUUAUGAGGUUAUUGUACAAAUAUGCUUUCAUGUGCUUUAUAUUUAAGCAUAUUUUACUUCGCACUUUAUUAGAUUGUAUUGUGCGUAUUUUCUGAAAUCUUGCGUAAACCGAGGAAACUGAAAACACACAUUUACGUUAUGAAAAAAAAAGUUACAAAAAUGUAAUGUUACAAAAACAGGUUACGUAGGACAUGACAAACUUCUAUGUGUGGGUGUGUGUGGGGGCGGGACCUUACAACACGCCCACACACCUGCUCAACCAAUCAGGCCUCAGUGUUGUCAAUCAUGUCUCAGCUGUGAUCAGAAACUUGUCCCGCUGAUGUGGAGUGGGCGGGGCUUAUUUUGUCAUCCAGCAACCAGCCACAAGGGGCCGAUCCAGAGUCGCCAUGUCGGCUAUUUUUCUUUGUUUGCUGUCGAGUUCACAAAAAAUAAAAAAUAAAUGUUUUUGGGGUGGAUUUUUUUUCAUAAUUUCUUCAAAUGUUUUUAAACCCACACAGUUUGUCUUCUACGGAAGAAAAUUAGUGCCAGAUGUAAAAAAAACCCAACAGUUUUUAGAAGAAAGUAAAAAAAAUAAAAUGCUGUGAAUUCUGAGAUUAAAACUGGAUUUCUUAAAUUAAACUCGGAAUUUGAAGAUUAAAGUCAGAAAUCUAAAAUUAAUUCUGAGAACAGUUGGAAUUCUGAGAUUAAAAUCAGAAAGACGGAAUUCUGAGGCGAAAUAACAUGGAAUUUUGAGAUAAAAGUUGGAAUUCUGAAUUUUUUCUCAGAAUUCAUGCCAUUUUCUUUUUUCUUUCUUUUUUUAAAUCAUGUGGCACUAAUAACCUUCUGUAGUUCCUCACACACAUAAGUGAUAAAAAAUAAAAAACUCUAAAAAAAAGUUAGAAAACAAAAGCAUGUUUGCUUUUCUUCAGGAAACAGAAAACUUUACCUCAGUGAGUCAUUUACAUGUCAUUUAAUACUGUAUGCAUGAAAAUAACACAAUGAUAAUAAUAAUGAUAAUAAUAAUGUUGUUUCUUUAUGUCGUCGCCAAAGUGUCAGAGAAUCAUUUUACAGAGAAAACAGAAACACGCGUCGUUUAUGAAUACGGGUGAAAACUCAACGAUCUUCAGGUUUUUUUUCAUCACACGAUAUUUUAGGGACAAAAAUAAACGGGAACUUUUUAAUCUUUUUCAUACGUGUGAGGAAAAUAAAAAUAAAGAAAUAAGCUUUUAUUUAGCAUUUUUUCUCUUCCUGUGUUUGUGAAGCGUCACAGAACGACCAGCAGGGGGAGCCGUCUGCUUAGAUGUUUUCUGUAUGUUUGCUUUAAUAAACGAGUUAAUUUAUUUAUUAUUAUAUCUGGAUUUCAUUCAUGAUAUCAUGGAUUUUUUUCUUUUCUUUUUUUGUCUGUAAUGAAAAGAAAUAAAAAGUGGAAA